rnacentral:lncRNA from 1 species
CACUAUAUAUCAUCCACUGUUCAGGAUAUAUAAAUACAGGGUUGAAUGACACAGUCAUUACCCUGAGAAUUACAAAGACUACUGGAAAUCACUAAUAAUAAAUAAACAAUUUCUUUUUAUUGUGGUGCAUUAAUGAGGAACAGGGGAAAACUGAGAGCCGCAGAGUCAGCCUUAAGUAGUGUGAGGGGUGGGAGGAGAUCCUUGUAAGCCUUUACUGGAGAAGCAGCUGCUUGGCAGACAGUGGGGUGAGAGUACAUUUUAGGCUGAGGGAACAGUAAGCACAAUAAAUGGAGUUGUAAGCAGCAGAGUAGAACUGAGAGCCUGCAAAGAAUCCAAUACUGCUCAUUAAUGAAGUGGAAGGGAGGAGUUAUCACCAAGUAGAUAAGAGUCACAAUUUACUAUGCUAUUGUAAACACUUGCUAUAGAUAAUGCAGUGAUAUUAAAUAGGGGAAAGCCAUGACCAAAUAUAUGUUUAGGGAGAAACAUUUUGGUUUAGAAGCUAUAUGAAAGUGAAUUAACGAAGAUAAGGACUAAAGGAAGAACCAGUUACGAACACUAUUAACCCAGAUGACAGAUGCUGGCUUGAAGCAAGGCUACAAUGACAAAGCAGCCAUCUACUCACCAGAAAUCAGAGCUCCCAGCACCUUCAUCUUGGACAUUCCAGCCUCCAGAUCUGUGAAAAAUAAAUGUUUGUUGUUUAAGUCACCCAGGCUAUUUUAAUUUGUUAUAGCAGCCUAAUGUGGGUUGGCUGUGACCCCACCCAAAUCUCACCUUGAAUUGUAAUAAUCUUCAGGUAUCCUGGGAAGGACCCAGUGGGUGGUAAUUGAAUCAUGGGAUGGGUUUUUCCAUGGUGUUCUCAUGAUAGUGAAUAAGUCUCAUGAGAUCUGAUGGCUUUAUAAAGGGUAGUUCCCCUGCACACACUCUCUUGAGGGCCACCAUGUAAAAUGUGCCUUUGCUUCUUCUUCACCUUCCACCAUGAUUGUGAGACCUCCCCAGCCAUGUGGAACUGUGAGUCCAUUAAAUCUCUUUUUCUUUAUAAAUUACCCACUCUCAGGUAUUUCUUCAGAGCAGUAUGAAAAUGGACUAACACACAGCCCAAACUAACUAGGUCAUCUCCUCUACAAGUUGCAGUCUUAUAAAGGCAGCCCUGUGGUGGGGGAGAUGAAGAUGGAGAAGUGGGUAGGGACCUGAGCAUGCAAUUUAUGGUGGUGUCUGGAUUUCAUUCA